rnacentral:rRNA from 1 species
UGGGGAAUCUUGCGCAAUGGUCGAAAGACUGACGCAGCGACGCCGCGUGGGCGACGAAGGCCUUCGGGUUGUAAAGCCCUGUGGGGAGGGACGAACACGUCCAGGUCGAACAGGCCUGGGCGCUGACGGUACCUCCUUAGCAAGCACCGGCUAACUCUGUGCCAGCAGCCGCGGUAAGACAGAGGGUGCAAACGUUGCUCGGAAUUACUGGGCGUAAAGCGCGUGUAGGCGGCUCUCCCAGUCGGGUGUGAAAGCCCAGGGCUCAACCCUGGAAGUGCACUCGAUACUAGAGAGCUGGAGUCUCGGAGAGGAUAGCGGAAUUCCCGGUGUAGAGGUGAAAUUCGUAGAUAUCGGGAGGAACACCAGUGGCGAAGGCGGCUAUCUGGACGAGAACUGACGCUGAGACGCGAAAGCGUGGGGAGCAAACAGG